rnacentral:rRNA from 1 species
CCGUAACUAUAACGGUCCUAAGGUAGCGAAAUUCCUUGUCGGGUAAGUUCCGACCUGCACGAAUGGCGUAAUGAUGGCCAGGCUGUCUCCACCCGAGACUCAGUGAAAUUGAACUCGCUGUGAAGAUGCAGUGUACCCGCGGCAAGACGGAAAGACCCCGUGAACCUUUACUAUAGCUUGACACUGAACAUUGAGCCUUGAUGUGUAGGAUAGGUGGGAGGCUUUGAAGCGUGGACGCCAGUCUGCGUGGAGCCAACCUUGAAAUACCACCCUUUAAUGUUUGAUGUUCUAACGUUGGCCCCUUACCGGGGUUGCGGACAGUGUCUGGUGGGUAGUUUGACUGGGGCGGUCUCCUCCCAAAGCGUAACGGAGGAGCACGAAGGUUAGCUAAUCCUGGUCGGACAUCAGGAGGUUAGUGCAAUGGCAUAAGCUAGCUUGACUGCGAGCGUGACGGCGCGAGCAGGUGCGAAAGCAGGUCAUAGUGAUCCGGUGGUUCUGAAUGGAAGGGCCAUCGCUCAACGGAUAAAAGGUACUCCGGGGAUAACAGGCUGAUACCGCCCAAGAGUUCAUAUCGACGGCGGUGUUUGGCACCUCGAUGUCGGCUCAUCACAUCCUGGGGCUGAAGUAGGUCCCAAGGGUAUGGCUGUUCGCCAUUUAAAGUGGUACGCGAGCUGGGUUUAGAACGUCGUGAGACAGUUCGGUCCCUAUCUGCCGUGGGCGCUGGAGAAUUGAGGGGGGCUGCUCCUAGUACGAGAGGACCGGAGUGGACGCAUCACUGGUGUUCGGGUUGUCAUGCCAAUGGCACUGCCCGGUAGCUAAAUGCGGAAGAGAUAAGUGCUGAAAGCAUCUAAGCACGAAACUUGCCCCGAGAUGAGUUCUCCCUGAGACUUUAAGUCUCCUGAAGGAACGUUGAAGACGACGACGUUGAUAGGCCGGGUGUGUAAGCGCAGCGAUGCGUUGAGCUAACCGGUACUAAUGAACCGUGAGGCUUAACCUU